UACGAAGGGGGCUAGCGUUGCUCGGAAUCACUGGGCGUAAAGCGCACGUAGGCGGCUUUCUAAGUCAGGGGUGAAAUCCUGGAGCUCAAUUCCAGAACUGCCUUUGAUACUGGAGAGCUAGAGUCCGGGAAGAGGUAGUGGAACUGCGGAGUGUAGAGGUGAAAUUCGUAGAUAUUCGCAAGAACACCAGUGGCGAAGGCGGCUCACUGGUCCGGUACUGACGCUGAGGUGCGAAAGCGUGGGGAGCAAACAGG
rnacentral:rRNA from 1 species